rnacentral:rRNA from 1 species
UGAAGCGGGAAGAGCUCAAGCUUAAAAUCUCUGUGCAAGUUUUGCAUGGCGAAUUGUAGUCUAUGGAUGCGCUAUCAGUGCAGCCGCGCGGGCCAAGUUCCUUGGAAGAGGACAGCAUGGAGGGUGAUACUCCCGUUCCUGCCUGUGCGUGUUGUGCGUACGAUGCGUUUUCUUUGAGUCGCGUUGUUUGGGAAUGCAGCGCAAAGUAGGUGGUAAAUUCCAUCUAAAGCUAAAUAUUGGUGCGAGACCGAUAGCGAACAAGUACCGUGAGGGAAAGAUGAAAAGAACUUUGAAAAGAGAGUUAAAGAGUACCUGAAACUGCUGAAAGGGAACCGGGUCGUUGCCAGUGUCUAUAAUCUGCGGCAUAUUUCAUUGUCGGAUGCGGCCGUGCGGCGCGUUUGGUAGUGGGUUCGUCCUGCACCGCGUGUUGCUGUGGUUGCGUUUGGUGGUGCCCUGUGCUGUGGUGGGACGUCAGAGUCAGUUCGUGUGCUGCGGGAAAUGGCUGCUGGGGAGGUAGGUCGGGGGUUCGCUCUCGGCUGUUAUAUCCUGGCGGACUAGUCGUCGUGGUUGGGACUGAGGUGCCUACAACGUGCUUUUGAGUGCGGAGGUUUCUUCGUUUGCGCGUCGGUUGGAUAGCUUGC